rnacentral:rRNA from 1 species
GACAAGCGGUGGAGUAUGUGGUUUAAUUCGAUGCAACGCGAAGAACCUUACCUGGUCUUGACAUCCCGGAGACCCUUAGGAACUAGGGGUGCUUCCAUCUGGAAGAAUCUGGAGACAGGUGCUGCAUGGCUGUCGUCAGCUCGUGUCGUGAGAUGUUGGGUUAAGUCCCGCAACGAGCGCAACCCUUGCCUUUAGUUGCCAGCAGUUCGGCUGGGCACUCUAAAGGGACUGCCGGUGUUAAACCGGAGGAAGGUGGGGAUGACGUCAAGUCCUCAUGGCCUUUAUGACCAGGGCUACACACGUACUACAAUGGCCGAUACAAAGGGCAGCGACACUGCGAGGUGAAGCCAAUCCCGUAAAAUCGGUCUCAGUCCGGAUUGGAGUCUGCAACUCGACUCCAUGAAGUUGGAAUCGCUAGUAAUCGUGGAUCAGCAUGCCACGGUGAAUACGUUCCCGGGCCUU